UUACGACCAUAUAACGCUGAAAUACCGGCUCUCGUACGAUCACCAACGUUAAGCAACUUCGAGCCUCAUCAGUACUUAGUUGGGUGACCACCUAGGAAUUUCUGGGG